ensembl:lncRNA
CGAGUUAAAUUUAAAGCCACUUUAUUAGGUACACCUUCCUAGCAGUGGGUUGGACUGCCUUUUGCCUUCAAAACUGCUUUAAUUCUUCAUGGCAUGGAUUCAACAAGGUGCUGGAAACAUUCUUCACAGAUUUUGGUUCAUCUAGACAUGAUAGCAUCACACAGUUGCUGCAGAUUUGUCAGCUGGACGUCCAUAAUGUGAAUCUGCUGUUCCACCACAUCCCAAAGGUGCUCUACUGGAUUGAGAUCUGAUGACUGCCGAUGCCAUUUGAGUACAGUGAAGUCAUUGUUGUGUUCAUGAAGCCAGUUUGAGAUUAUCUAUACUUUGUGACAUGGCACACUACCCUGUAAAAAGCAGCCAGCAGAAGAUGGGUACGCUGUGAUUUGCCACUAAAAUCUGAAAAAAACAAAACAAAACAAAACAAAAAAAACUUGUGAGUUUCUUGCCCCAAAAUACUGGUUAGUUUUUUCUAACUAAACGGCACAUAUGAUUCUACCUUCAUAUUAGCUACAAGGAUUUUCUUGUCAGAUGUGUCCGAUAAAACCUAAACAAGCCUAUGUUAUUGUUUUUCUUUUCUAUGUGGUAUCUGUUGCAUUUCAAAGAAUGACCAUGUCUAGAUCUACCAAAAAAAUCCAUAUUUCUCAGUAGGGCUGAAACACAUACCAUGAUUCAUAUUUCACAUAAAACAGUAAUAACUUGAGGUUUUUGUUUUGGUUUGUUUUUUUUAGUUUUUUUUUUUUUUCUGUACUAAGAAUCAAAACCUAUUUCUAAUGAAAAUGACAUAAUACUUUUUUUUUUUUUUUUUUUAAAUUGGUGGGACAUUUUCAAUCUACAGUUACAAAGAACAAGUCAACUACAAGUCAAUUUGAGUUUUAAAUUCCAUGAUUUAUGCAAAUUAUGCUGCUGCUUUCCUGUAAACUGUCUUUCUGGGAGUGUGGUAAAAGCUUUACAACAGCAUUUACACCUUUUUGAUGGAAAAAAAACACAAUGCAAAGUAUAAUUGAAGUGUUCGGUUAAAAAAAAGAAAAUAUGGAAAAUCUGUGAGACAAUCUUUU